CAGAAAACAAAAUGUUAUUACUGGCUGAAGAACCAAAAUUGAAUGGACAGAGAACACGGUUGUCAAAACUCAAACAGAAGUUGUGUCACUCAGCUACAUUAAAACAUAAAACUGAAGGCAGAAGCAACAAAUACAACAUGUGAAGAAUGAAGCAACAGCGUAAUAAAACUCGGGAGAUGUUGAUGGCGUCAAGGGAAAGAUAUGCCAUUCAGAGGGACAUACGCAAUAAUCAUGAGGAACUGGUUUCUCUUUAAAAAAAUGAAAUUCUAAAUUGCUCAAUUGUUUCUGGAACUUUUAAUUGAUUUUACAUGUGAUGGUGUUCAGUGAGUCUAUGAAACUUAUUAUUACACAUACUAUCAUGUAAGAUAUAAAUUGUCAUAUGAAUUAUAAUACCAUGCCCAGUUAAUAUAUUGUACUUCCUGAUUAAUAAUAAAUAUUUGUGAAUGUU